UGGGGAAUAUUGGACAAUGGGCGCAAGCCUGAUCCAGCCAUGCCGCGUGAGUGACGAAGGUCUUCGGAUUGUAAAGCUCUUUUGCCAGGGACGAUAAUGACGGUACCUGGAGAAUAAGCCCCGGCUAACUUCGUGCCAGCAGCCGCGGUAAUACGAAGGGGGCUAGCGUUGUUCGGAAUUACUGGGCGUAAAGCGCACGUAGGCGGAUUUGUAAGUCAGGGGUGAAAUCCCGGGGCUCAACCUCGGAACUGCCUUUGAUACUGCAAGUCUCGAGUCCGGAAGAGGUGAGUGGAAUUCCGAGUGUAGAGGUGAAAUUCGUAGAUAUUCGGAAGAACACCAGUGGCGAAGGCGACUUACUGGACAUCUGUUGACGCUGAGGUGCGAAAGCGUGGGGAGCAAA
rnacentral:rRNA from 1 species